CAAAUAUUUAAUUGACUUUUAACAGUUUUUAAAUGACAUUCAGAGAUAUUAAAAAUGUUUUGUUAAAGAAAUCUUUAACAACUAAAAUGAAGUAUACAUCAUAAGCCACGAAGAGAUAACGAAAAUUUUAUCAGGUAAAAUAACUCAAUAAAUAUAAUUUCUCCUUUUUAGUACGGGGUUGGAAUUUUCUUUCAAAUCAACAGAUUCUUAAAUUAUGCCACAGGUCUGACAUGCAGGAUUGGGGUGGCGAAUCCAAGGUUCAAGUAAUCCCAGCAAGGCUGCUCCAUCUCCAUGUGGAGCCCAGUAGUGAAUAAAUUUGUUGCCAUCUGGCAAACUUGAUCUGAAAAGUGUGGGGUGAGCACAGAGGAGUUGGAAUAAGAAGUGUUCUGCCUGCCCAAAAAGGCCAACGAGUCUUCACUGGAAGCCAUGAUGGUUACGGGAGAUAAUGAGAAGAGCUUUGAAUGCCAGUAUCUUAGUGGUGGGAUGUUGACAGUGGGUCCAGAAUACUCGAUGAUAAGAUCUCCUCAAGCGAACUACGGAGUACUUGUCAAAGAACUGUCGUCUUUGUUCUGAACACCCUGUGUAUAUCUCACACAUAAAACAAUAAAUUAUGCAAAUCUUACCAUAAAUGACAGAAAUAAAAAGUGUUAUCCUUUUUUAUGAAUUUUGAUGUAUAAUUAUUUUAAAUUGAGUGAAUUGAUGCAAUAUACUGCUAACCCACAAAU